UUUUUUGGCACAUGGAAGUUCCCAGGCCAGGGAUGUACACUGAGCCACAACGGCAACCCAUACCACAGCACAGUGUCAACACCAGAUCCUUCACUUGCUAGGCCACCAGGGAACCCCCAAAGGAGCUCUUUCAGAAUACACUUGAUUUAAAUGUCUUAAUAUGUUAAGAGUCAGUAUAAUGUGAAUUAUUAUUUAAUAAUUUUAUAUCAUGAAAUUAAAUCACAGUAUUAAUAUUUUAAUGCAAACGCUUUAAAAUAUUAACAAUAGAAGUACUUAUUUUCAGGACAGUAGAAUCAUCUUUAUCUGGAACCAUGAGUAAAUGAAGCGUUCACACCACAUAAGUGAAAUUUCCAAAUUACUAAAACCAAACCCUGAAAUGUCAAAACUUAAAAAAUGUUUUCUAAAUGUAUAUUAUGUAAUUUUAUCGAUUAUGUAUUAAAUGUGUGCAUAUGCAUGCAUAUAUAUAACAUUUCAGAUGGCCUUAUUGACUGAUUUUUCUUAUUCCUGGUAUUUCUUACUGACUUGGCUUCAUUGAUCUGAACAUCAUUGCUGCACCAUAUGCUAAAAUAUGAAUUGCCCUCAGGAGCUAGCAAAGCUCAUAAAAUAGAAACUCACCAAUCUAACUAGCUUUGCACUGAAAAAGUUUUUCAAAAAUUACAGUUAGAGUUCCUUUUUUAAUACUUUAGGGGAAGAAACACUUUCCCUCUACCCUCUUUAGGUCCCUGACUGGGCCUGAAAAUUAAACUGACAGAUUAACAGGAGAAAAGCAUACAACUUUAUUUAAUGUAAAUUUUAAGUGACAUAGGGGCCUUCAUAAGGAAAUGAAGACCUGAAGAAAAGGUUAAGCUUGAGCAUUUUUUAAAAUUUUAUUAUUUUUUUCUUCUUAUGGCUGUACCCAUGGCAUAUGGAAGUUCCUGGGCCAUGGCCAGGAAUCUGAGCCGCAGCUGAAACCUAUGCCACAGCUCUGGCAAUGCUGGAUCCUUAGCCCACUGUGCUGGGCUGGGGAUCAAAUUUGCACCUCUGCAGUGACCCGAGCCACUGCAGUUGGAUUCUUAACCCACUGUGCCACAGCAGGAACUCCAGUGGGUUGUUUGUUUGUUUUUUUUCCUUUCUUUUUUCUUUCUUUUCUUGCUCCCUAGUUCCCCAGCAAUCCUGCAGCAGUGACAGGGAUGGGGGCCUAAACUCUGAGGAAUAGAGAAUUGUCUUUCCAAGUGAAGGACCUAAGGUCUCAAAAAGUUGUUGUUUUUCUUCAUUCUUUCUCUCUUUCCACUCCCCUCUCAUCUGUGCCAAAUCUGGUACAGUCAUGGCAAGUGCAUGGAAGAAGAGAGUAAACAAAGCCCCAGGUUUCUGGCCUAAAGACUGAAAGGGGGAAGCCUAAAGAACUUGAAAGCACCAGGAAGAUUAUAAAGAGAAGAGUUUGGGAAUAUAAGUCCAUAAAAGUUCUUUAUGAAAUCCCAGGCUUACCUCUGAACAUGCAUCCAAUCCUAAAUACCACCAGAGACUUUGAGAACUGAACUAAGGGACAGACCUCUGUCCAGAUCCUAGACUGGCUGCUACUUGGUGCAUCUGCAGGAUGUAUCUGAACAGCACAGCAAAGGCUUUGAAAGGAAAACUGAUUGUGAGACCUACACCAAAAGAACUUCCAGUCUUAACCAUUUGAGUCAAUUGUCUGACUAAAAUAAAAAUAUUAACAUAGGAUUUUGGAGUUCCUGUUGUGGCUCAGUGGUAAUGAACCCACUAGGAUCCAUGAGGAUGUGGGUUCCAUCCCUGGCCCCGUUCAGUGGGUUAAGGAUCAUGGCAUUGCUGUGAACUGUGGUAAAGAUUGCAGAUGCCACCUCGGAUCCACAUUGCUGUGGCUGUGGCAUAGCAGCUCCUAUUUGACCCCUAGCCUGAGAAUUUCCAUAUGCUGCCAGUGUAUCCCUAAAAAGGCAAAAGCAAACAAAUAAGCAAAACAUAGGAUUUAGGAAAGACACAGAGUCUCAUAGCACAACAUUCAAAAAGUCCAGCAUACAAUCCAAAAUUACUAAGCAUAUGAAGUCAGGAAAAUUUCAACUCACAUGGGAAAAGUGAGUAGACAUCAAAGUCAAGAAGGCCCA
ensembl:lncRNA